rnacentral:sRNA from 1 species
UGAAAGUCUCAGACAGCAGCCAUAAGCCAUCCCGUAUAAACACGGUCUGGCUCAUAGCUAUUGGAUGGGUUAACCUGUAUGAGCAAGAAGAGCGACAGCUCGGAUGGUGAAUGCAAGUAGUGAUUGUGGGAGCACCAAAGUGCGAAGCAAUCGACUUUCA